GUGAAAUUGUUGAAAGGGAAACGCUUGACACCAGUCAUGCGAGCGGAAAAUCAGUCUUUUGCAGUGGGGGGUUGUGUGGGAUCGGACCGCAAGGCCGGCCUAUGCUGCAUCUCUGCUGUAAGUGAUGCACUUUUUCGUUUGCAGGCCAACAUCAGUUUCUUCUGCUGGACAAAACUCUUGAGAAGGUAGCAGCUUUGGCUGUGUUAUAGCUCUUGAGCGAUACAGUGGAGGGGACUGAGGUUUUCGCAGCGCGUGCUUUCGGGCAAGGCUGAUUGGGUGCUAUGGGAUCGUUCGGUGUACAAUGCAUGCAUUUUGCGCCGUGUCUUUUCUGUACUCGCUCAACUCGGCUCUUCCGCGCUUAGGAUGUUGGCUUAAUGGUUUUAAUCGACCCGUCUUGAAACACGGACCAAGGAGUCUAACAUAUAUGCAAGUGUUUGGGUGGCAAACCCAUGCGCGUAAUGAAAGUGAACGUAGGUGCCAUCCGCAAGGUGCAGCAUCGACCGAUCUUGAUAUUUUUGGAUAGAUUUGAGUAAGAGCAUAUAUGCUGGGACCCGAAAGAUGGUGAACUAUGCCUGAAUAGGGUGAAGCCAGAGGAAACUCUGGUGGAGGCUCGUAGCGAUUUCUGACGUGCAAAUCGAUCGUCAAAUUUGGGUAU
rnacentral:rRNA from 1 species